AGACGAGAAAUCGGAAGUGCUGUUGUAGUGGUAAACAAAUCUUCGAGCUCCCCUUCGCGAGCAACAUCCAGAACAUGUAAAAGCAACAGCAGCGAAGUACAAGAAAGGUCGAGGUUUUCCCUGGGAAGCCUGUUGUGGUCGCACCUAGAGGGAAUUUUGAGCAAUUUCAGACCCAUAAAAUCCUGAAGUUUUAUAGAUGGAAUAAGGGCUGCAUUUACCUGUAAAUACCGAUUAGCACAUGUGAACUAGUUUCUCAUUCAUCUGUAAAUAAUAAGAGCCAGCAGCAGCCCCUACAGGAAAUGAGAGUUUAAAUAAAACAAUAAAACAAUGCAUGUGUCUAUCUGCUUUGUUUUCCCUUCAAGAAAAAGCAGUACCAGAGUCCCAAAAAUUCUCUUUUUUGGGCAAAGAUUUAUUCUUUGCAUUUGCAGAAGUUCGUGACAAAGUAUUUUGCAAAACAAUAGUCCAAGAAAACGUAAAUUCAUCACUUCAAAAUGAUUAUUCUAUCAGCAUGGGAGUGCUCGAAUUGCAUAUGGGCACACGAGGCAUUAUCGAGUUAAAAUCCGUCUGGAUAUUGCCAAAUAUUUACAACGCUUCUCUGAAUCUAUACAGCAAUUUACUGAAUAUUUCGUAGUAAGAUAAAAAUCCAGGGUUCACAUUAUGAGGUUUAUAUACAAAUAUAACAUUUGCAAAGCGUUGCUCCAAGACUCGACUCGAGAAAUAACGAUCAACUCUAUAGAUAAUAGGAAAAUAAAAUUAGUGUAUAGUGAGUAUUACACGAUAAUCACGACAUAUUAAUUUCUUCAACAUCUAACCAGUCUGGAGAGUCUUUAUCAGAAUUGUAAUUUUUUUUUCUGAAAUUAGCAGGCAUAUCUCCAUCAUCUUCUUCAAGAUCACUAAAUGACACGUCAUCCUCGUUCUCAACUGGGAUGUUGGUUCCACCGGAUCCUUGUUUUGGGGGGGGUGGGGGGGGGGGUGUUGUAAUCAAACCUUAUUGAAUCAAAUAUAACAGAAACCACCCCCAACUACUAUCAGUGAUUUACACGCAAAUCCAAGCUUCCAGGGACAAAUAUUUUAUGACUUGCCCACUAAGAGAAUUAAGCCACAUCAAAAAUAAAUAAUUAUUAAAUGAAUCAAGAAGAAAAGGGAAAUGGGAAGAAUAUAACAAACAGAAGAUGCGUAAAUGGCAUGCAAGGGAAUGAUAUGGAGGGAAAAAAAUGUCAUCAAAGGCCUAGCACUUUAAUACAUAUCCUUUUAGAAAGACUAGAGAUCAAUGACUAAAGUUUGUUCUGACAGAAAUGCUGUUACUUAAAAUAUUGUUCUUGGUGCUCAUUUUCAGUUGGGUUCGGUGGUGGUUUUUUCUUUCUUUCUUUUUUCUUUUUUUGUUGGGGGGGGGGGGGGGGGGUUUUAAGGAUACGGGCUACUCGACCGUUACCGUGAGGAGUCGAGAUCGACCCAAGUUAUUGUUCGACACUGUUUGUACUCUGACCGACAUGCAAUACGUAGUAUUCCAUGCAGCCAUUAGCUCCAAGGAAUCUAUAGCUGUUCAGGUAAAAGCACAAUAUAGUUUAUAUCUUUGCACAGAUUCUGUGAGUGCGUUCUUUGUUUCUAAUCUUUUAACUUCUGAAAAUCCCAGGAAUACUACAUAAAGCACAAAAGUGGACGCCCUUUGGAUUCAGAAGAUGAGAAGCAGUUGGUUACCCAGUGUUUGAUAGCAGCUACGGAAAGGAGAAUUUCUCAUGUACGUUACAGAAACUAACGUUUUUCUCCCACUUGUUUACAAAGAAAAAUUUAAUAAUCGUAAUUGUACAUAAUUGUGCAGGGGUUAAGACUAGAUAUUUGCACAGAAAAUAGGAUAGGACUAUUAUCUGAUAUCACACGAGUAGUACGAGAAAAUGGAUUAUCUAUAACAAGGGCUGAGAUCGGUACUCGGGGUGAGAGAGCAGUUGGCACAUUCUAUGUAAAAGAUACUUCGGGAGAAAAUGCUGAUCCAGAAACACUUGAAAAGGUGAGACGAGAAAUCGGAAGUGCUGUUGUAGUGGUAAACAAAUCUUCGAGCUCCCCUUUGCGAGCAACAUCCAGAACAUGUAAAAGCAACAGCAGCGAAGUACAAGAAAGGUCGAGGUUUUCCCUGGGAAGCCUGUUGUGGUCGCACCUAGAGGGAAUUUUGAGCAAUUUCAGACCCAUAAAAUCCUGAAGUUUUAUAGAUGGAAUAAGGGCUGCAUUUACCUGUAAAUACCGAUUAGCACAUGUGAACUAGUUUCUCAUUCAUCUGUAAAUAAUAAGAGCCAGCAGCAGCCCCUACAGGAAAUGAG
rnacentral:lncRNA from 1 species